GUGCUAUGAGCUCGAGUCGUAUAUGAGCUGAUAGCUGAGAGCGAAUGGUUUAAUUGUUUUAUAAUAUAGUCCAACAGCCAUUAAGUCAUUAACUGAAGCAAUAAUUCAUUAUCCUCUGUUACAAUGUCUUGAAAAUUUGAAAUACUUUUGUUUUACAACUUGAAGACGAAGUGAACGAAAUGGUUUUAGAACCGGUAUAUCUCACAGAAAAGCUCAGAUAUAUUAUACAGAUACGAUUCGAUGUUUGGUAGUAUACAGUAAGUGCUUGUUGACUGCAAAUUCGUUUGUCUUUCGUUGCAAACUUUUCUGAACAAUUUAUAUUCUCAAUGAACAUGUUUUUUUAGCUGUUGUUUAAUUUCGGUAUUAAUUAUUUAAAAAAAUUGUAUUUAAAUUUAAAUUAUUUCAGUCUGCGCGGUUAACACGAAGAUGGCAUCACUUUUUGGACUCGAAUUCUCGCUCCAAAUAUACAGCUAAUAUAAUAAUAAAGGUUGAAAACCUUAUAAAUUAACUCAAAGCGUGCAAAGCAUAUAUAUAAUUGAAGCAUCAUUUAAUCAGUUUAGAAAUCAUAUAUGGGCCCAUUUCUUAAAGACAUGGUAAAUAUUUCCUUACAAGAACAAUUCGUUCACAAAUAUUCAACUACUAAGCUUGACACUUGUGCUUCCAUUAAACUUUGCGCGCUUACAGUUUAAGGUUUACAGUUUAAGGUUUACAAAGGGCAACCUUUUUUGAAUUGACUGUAUAUGUAGCUCACUGAUUGUUUCUGGCCAGUUUGUCUGUCCAAAUGAAUAAACUGGACUUCCGAAUCCGCAGCGUCUUUUAAAAGCAAAGUCUAAAGCCAGUUUUCCACUUCAAGCGUACCGUACCGAAACGUAUCAAAAACAUUUUUAAAUUUCAAAAUUUUGUAAAUAUUGGUUGGUUAAUACUUCCGUAGUACGUCAAAAAGUUGACUUGCGACGAACUUUUCAUUUUGAUACGCGAGUACACCCGGAAGUACGUGGAUUUAUCAACGCAUGCUCACCAGUACGUUUCGGUACGGUUCUGUGUCACAAAUAUAAAAGAUUUUAUAGAUGGUUUAUUUCAUAUAAACAUUUGCAGCCAAUAGGCUGAAUUACGCUUAAUAUAUUUAUUAGAAAAUAUUAAAAUACUAUACACUAAAUGUCUCCAAAAGGAUCUAAGAAUAUUCUAAUAAUUUUACGACGAAUAAGUUAAUGCAUUAUAUGUAUAAUAAAACUAAUUUUAAAACGGUUAUAGUUUGAAAUGCAACGUUAAAUCUAUGACUGGAUCUAAGAGUCAUAUUAACAGUUUCAUUACGUG